rnacentral:rRNA from 1 species
CCUACGGGAGGCUGCAGUGAGGAAUAUUGGUCAAUGGGCGAGAGCCUGAACCAGCCAAGUCGCGUGAGGGAAUAAGGCCCUACGGGUCGUAAACCUCUUUUGCCGGGGAGCAAGGUCGGGCACGUGUCCCGGCCCGGAGAGUCCCCGGAGAAAAAGCAGCGGCUAACCCCGUGCCAGCAGCCGCGGUAAUACGGAGGAUGAGAGCGUUAUCCGGAUUUAUUGGGUUUAAAGGGUGCGUAGGCGGGCUUUUAAGUCAGCGGUAAAAAUUCGGGACUCAACCCCGACCGGCCGUUGAAACUGGGGGCCUUGAGUGGGCGAGAAGAAGGCGGAAUGCGUGGUGUAGCGGUGGAAUGCAUAGAUAUCACGCAGAACCCCGAUUGCGAAGGCAGCCUUCCGGCGCCCAACUGACGCUGAGGCACGAAAGUGCGGGGAUCGAACAGGAUUAGAUACCCGGGUAGUC